UACGUAGGGGGCAAGCGUUGUCCGGAUUUAUUGGGCGUAAAGAGCGUGUAGGCGGUUUGGUAGGUCCGCUGUGAAAACUCGAGGCUCAACCUCGAGACGCCGGUGGAAACCAUCAGACUAGAGUCCGGAAGAGGAGAGUGGAAUUCCUGGUGUAGCGGUGAAAUGCGCAGAUAUCAGGAAGAACACCCGUGGCUAAGGCGGCUCUCUAGUACGGUACUGACACUGAGGAGCGAAAGCGUGGGGAGCGAACAGG
rnacentral:rRNA from 1 species